rnacentral:rRNA from 1 species
GACGAACGCUGGCGGCGUGCUUAACACAUGCAAGUCGAACGGAAAGGCCUGCUUUCCCUUGUGGAUUGCGGGUACUCGAGUGGCGAACGGGUGAGUAACACGUGAGUGAUCUGCCCCCAACUUGGGUAUAAGCCUGGGAAACUGGGUCUAAUUCCCGAUAGGACUGCAGGGUGGUGCCUGUGGUGGAAAACGAUUUUCUAGUGGUUGGGGAUGAGCUCGCGGGCUAUCAGCUUGUUGGUGGGGUAAUGGCCGACCAAGGCGGCGACGGGUAGCCGGCCUGGGAGGGUGGACGGCGACAUUGGGACUGAGAUACGGCCCAGACGCCUACGGGAGGCAGCAGUGGGGAAUAUUGCACAGUGGGCGGAAGCCUGAUGCAGCGACGCCGCGUGGGGGAUGCCGGCCUUCGGGUUGUAAACUCCUUUCGACCGCGAGGAAGCCACCUGGUUGGAAGGGUGGUGACGGUAGUGGUAGAAGAAGCACCGGCUAACUACGUG